GUCGGAACUGUAUGCGCAGUCGCACUAAGGACAGAUGUGCUCAGAGGCAUGCCCUGUAACGUGUAUGAGCGGUCUGUCGUGCGGCAGGAAUAAGUUGUACAAAGUCCAUCUUAGACAUGUGUGUCAUGCAAGCUAGCAGCAUCCCAUGAGAAACGGGCCGAAGUGUUUAAGUGUUCACCGGAGUUUGCACCCUUGGCAAGCGGACUGAGGUAUGUGAUGAGAGGUGAUCUGUUGUUAUAUUUUAUUUAACCGAACUGUGUAACCCCUUGA